CAGUAGCCACGGGAAUACGUAGGGUGCAAGCGUUGUCCGGAAUUAUUGGGCGUAAAGAGCUCGUAGGCGGUUUGUCGCGUCUGCUGUGAAAUCCCGAGGCUCAACCUCGGGCUUGCAGUGGGUACGGGCAGACUAGAGUGCGGUAGGGGAGAUUGGAAUUCCUGGUGUAGCGGUGGAAUGCGCAGAUAUCAGGAGGAACACCGAUGGCGAAGGCAGGUCUCUGGGCCGUAACUGACGCUGAGGAGCGAAAGCGUGGGGAGCGAACAGGAUUAGAUACCCCGGUAGUCCCUGUCUCUUAUCC
rnacentral:rRNA from 1 species